rnacentral:lncRNA from 1 species
GUUAUCAAGGAUACCUUGGCCGAGGACUAUCCCAAACUGAGUCCGCCAAGGCUAUUAAAAAGCUAUAUACUCAUAAAUCAUGUUUUUAUUUAGAAAAUAUAGUUGUUCCUUGGCGUUGGCUGAGUUCGCCCUCACGUGGUGGUUUGCCGUGAAGUGAACUCUAAAAGUUAUACCUCGAGAGUUACCCUACUCGCCUCUCCAACUGAGGUAAAAUAUGUCAGGAUUCUGUGCCCCUCUAAUAGGCUAGUCCACACAACCCAGCCCACUGCAGCAAGCAAUACCCACCAUACAAUAAAAUUUUUGACAGCAUGACAAGGUUAAUUUAAUACUACCCAGCCUGCAAAUAUAAAAUAGAACAAUUCAUACAGUUCACCAAAAACACAACCCAGCCAGUCAUGCCAACACAUUAACAUAAGUCAUCAAUUCAGAUCAUAAAUUUACAACACAUCAGGGGUCUCCAAUUACUCUAUUUUCAAAAUCAUCAUUCAAUUUCAAGACAAUUUAUAAAAUCUUUUCAUUUAAACACAUUUUGUUUAUAAACAUAAAGGUUUACCAUUUAAACCCAUUUUUCAUAAAAUCAUAAAAUCGGAUAAACACCACUUUAGAUAAUUAAGACGAUAGUAAGGUUACUCACUAUACUAGGAGUUAGAUAUACUCCUAUUUUCGAGUCUUCGGGCACAAUCUCUUUACCCUUAUUAGAGGGCUCACCACUUAUACAUCAUACGUGACACGAAUUUCAAUAAAUUGUGUCAAUUUAUCAUAAACUAUUUUGGGCUCUAUAAAUCUAUAUGAAUGCACGAAAUGUGAU